UCCUGUGUAGCUCAGUUGGUAGAGCAUGGCGGUUGCAACACCAGGGUUGUGGGUUUGAUUCCCACUGGAG
rfam:Salmo salar isolate Sally breed double haploid chromosome ssa06, whole genome shotgun sequence.